rnacentral:rRNA from 1 species
AUUGAACGCUGGCGGCAGGCCUAACACAUGCAAGUCGAACGGUAACAGGAAGCAGCUUGCUGCUUCGCUGACGAGUGGCGGGCGGGUGAGUAAUGUCUGGGAAACUGCCUGAUGGAGGGGGAUAACUACUGGAAACGGUAGCUAAUACCGCAUAACGUCGCAAGACCAAAGAGGGGGACCUUCGGGCCUCUUGCCAUCGGAUGUGCCCAGAUGGGAUUAGCUAGUAGGUGGGGUAAAGGCUCACCUAGGCGACGAUCCCUAGCUGGUCUGAGAGGAUGACCAGCCACACUGGAACUGAGACACGGUCCAGACUCCUACGGGAGGCAGCAGUGGGGAAUAUUGCACAAUGGGCGCAAGCCUGAU